UCCUACGGGAGGCAGCAGUGGGGAAUAUUGCACAAUGGGCGCAAGCCUGAUGCAGCAACGCCGCGUGAGGGAUGACGGCCUUCGGGUUGUAAACCUCUUUUAGCAGGGAAGAAGCGAAAGUGACGGUACCUGCAGAAAAAGCGCCGGCUAACUACGUGCCAGCAGCCGCGGUAAUACGUAGGGCGCAAGCGUUGUCCGGAAUUAUUGGGCGUAAAGAGCUCGUAGGCGGUCUGUCGCGUCUGCUGUGAAAUCCCAAGGCUCAACCUCGGGCUUGCAGUGGGUACGGGCAGACUA
rnacentral:rRNA from 1 species